rnacentral:lncRNA from 1 species
GAUUGAAAGACUGCAGCAAGUGCGGACAACUCCCAACACUUGGAUGUCUUCCUCGCCUUAAGAUUCUAGAGAUACGUGGAAUGCCUAAUGUGAAACGUAUACGCAAUGAGUUCUAUAGUAGCGGUGACAGCGCAACAGUACUGUUUCCAGCACUAAAAGAACUCACUUUGGGGGAUAUGGAUGGUCUUGAAGAAUGGGUGGUACCAGGUGGAGAAGUUGUUGCAGUAUUUCCUUGUCUUGAAAAAUUGAGCAUUAAUAAGUGUGGCGAGUUGAGGCAACUCCCAACAUUUGGAUGUCUUCCUCGCCUUAAGAUUGUAGAGAUAAGUGCAAUGCCUAAUGUGAAAUGUAUAGGCAAGGAGUUCUAUAGUAGCAGCAUUGGCAGUGCAGCAGAACUGUUUCCAGCACUAGAAGAACUCACUUUGCAGGGUAUGGAUGGUCUUGAAGAAUGGAUGGUACCAGGUGGAG